CUGGCUCAGGAUGAACGCUAGCUACAGGCUUAACACAUGCAAGUCGAGGGGCAGCAUUGGAGUAGCAAUACUCAGAUGGCGACCGGCGCACGGGUGAGUAACACGUAUCCAACCUGCCGCUUACUCGGGGAUAGCCUUUCGAAAGAAAGAUUAAUACCCGAUGGUAUAAAGAGUUCGCAUGUUCUCUUUAUUAAAGGAUUUCGGUAAGCGAUGGGGAUGCGUUCCAUUAGAUAGUUGGCGGGGUAACGGCCCACCAAGUCUACGAUGGAUAGGGGUUCUGAGAGGAAGGUCCCCCCACAUUGGAACUGAGACACGGUCCAAACUCCUACGGGAGGCAGCAGUGAGGAAUAUUGGUCAAUGGACGAGAGUCUGAACCAGACCCAAGUAGCGUGAAGGAUGACUGCCCUAUGGGUUGUAAACUUCUUUUAUAAGGGAAUAAAGUGAGGGGCGUGUCCCUUUUUGUAUGUACCUUAUGAAUAAGGAUCGGCUAACUCCGUGCCAGCCGCCGC
rnacentral:rRNA from 1 species